rnacentral:rRNA from 1 species
UACGUAGGGUGCAAGCGUUGUCCGGAAUUAUUGGGCGUAAAGAGCUCGUAGGCGGUCUGUCGCGUCGGAUGUGAAAACCCAGGGCUCAACCCUGGGCCUGCAUUCGAUACGGGCAGACUAGAGUUCGGUAGGGGGACUGGAAUUCCUGGUGUAGCGGUGAAAUGCGCAGAUAUCAGGAGGAACACCGGUGGCGAAGGCGGGUCUCUGGGCCGAAACUGACGCUGAGGAGCGAAAGCGUGGGGAGCAAACAGG